CCUACGGGAGGCAGCAGUGAGGAAUAUUUGUCAAUGGACGAGAGUCUGAACCAGCCAAGUAGCGUGAAGGAUGACUGCCCUAUGGGUUGUAAACUUCUUUUAUAUGGGAAUAAAAUGUUCCACGUGUGGGAUUUUGUAUGUACCAUAUGAAUAAGGAUCGGCUAACUCCGUGCCAGCAGCCGCGGUAAUACGGAUGAUCCGAUCGUUAUCCGGAUUUAUUGGGUUUAAAGGGAGCGUAGGUGGAUUGUUAAGUCAGUUGUGAAAGUUUGCGGCUCAACCGUAAAAGUGCAGUUGAAACUGGCAGUCUUGAGUACAGUAGAGGUGGGCGGAAGUCGUGGUGUAGCGGUGAAAUGCUUAGAUAUCACGAAGAACUCCGAUUGCGAAGGCAGUUCACUGGACUGCAACUGACACUGAGGCUCGAAAGUGUGGGUAUCAAACAGGAUUAGAUACCCUAGUAGUC
rnacentral:rRNA from 1 species